rnacentral:tRNA from 1 species
GCCGCCUUAGCUCAGUUGGCUAGAGCAGCUGUUUUGUAAACAGCAGGUCCACGGUUCGAGUCCGUGAGGCGGCUCCA